CAAUCCUGUUCGUCCGUUUCACCUGUGUCCAACCCGCUUUUCACCGUGGCCGUUAGAUGCAGUCAAACUUUCCUCACUCGUUCAGCUUCGGAAAGACUCUAUGACAGAUGGGACCUCCUACGUGCGGGACCCGAUAGUGAGAGGAAGGCAGGCCGGCUCGUUCGGUCGCUUCCUUCUCCUGUCCCCAGACCAGAGGUGAAAACCUAGAUCGAGCGCCGCUCCCCCAAUCCUCGCUCCCGAAUCCCCGCCCCUCCUUUGCUCCCCGAAUCCCCGUCGACCUCUCUCUCCCUCUCCCCAACGAUGGUGCACCGCCGCUCCCCGAGAUGGAGCCGGACGGGCACGACCGCUAGGGCAGGCCGGAGAGCACGGUGUGCGCGUGCGUGGCGGUGCGGCAGCGAGCACGAGCGGAGGCGGUCUGGUAGUUGUCUCUGGCGGCGCAGGGUGGAGCGAGCGGAUGAGGCGGCGCUGGUGCUAGGCGGAGGUGGGUUCGCGCGUUGGUGUCCAGCGGCGCGCUACCUCUCCCCCGAAAUGGAGCAGGAGCGCCUGUCCCUCGGGAUUGAGCCGGUCGCUCCUGGAGCCUCGACGGACGCCUGCGUCCUGGGCGUGUAAAGCAUCAGCGGAAAUCCUAGGAAAGCGCAUCGAUGUGACCGUCGGUGGGGAGGAGGCGAGCAAGCAGGGCGACGAGGGAGGAGCAGCCUCACCAGCUCGGCCCGAGGAUUCGGCGCUGGCGGACUCCUCCACGAGUAAGGCCCUCCUCUUCCUCUAGAUGCCUCUACCUAUGUGAGGAUAUGGUGGUUGACUUACAACGAGAGGCCUGCGUGUGGGGAUCUGGUGGUUGAGUUUGAUCUGCGUAUUUUAUAUUUAGUUCCUCUAAUCAGAUUUGCUGCUUCAGUUGCGGUGAUGGAGAUUACCAUCUCUCCAGUGCAUCCUCACCCACCGCCACAGGCCAGCUCGUCUGCACAUCCCUCCUCACCGGCCCACGUGAGAUCAGGUCAUCCUUUCCUCUCCUCUUUGUCUCCCCCUUAUCACAUUUUUUAUAUGCCUCCCCAUUCAAUUUUCAUUCACGUGAAUUUAGUUCUUUUAGUUGUGUUUCAGUCGUUGGCCCUGUGAUUGGUAGCCUAAUUUUUCCUAAAAAAGAACAGAGACAAGAACACAUUUCAGAGCUGCAGCCACAGAGAGUGUUGUCUACUCAUGGCCUACUGAUCUACAGAAGAAAUAAUUUUAGUAUGUAAUCUAUGUGUACAUAUCCUUUUUGCAGAGAUCAUUAUGUUAUAUUGCUCAUAACUUUGUUUCAUAUGGCGGAGGCUUCACCCCGUGGAGUUGAAUCGAAUUGGUUGUUGCUUGUGUUGUUAGUUUUGUGUGAUGUUUGUAGUAUCUGUUAACCUGCCUUUUUUAUAAUGGUUAGCACAUGUCAGAGUUCAUGUAUUUCUCUUCAGAUAGCCAAUCUUUAUAUAAAAAAAUAUUUGUUAGUACAUGCUAUGCAGUAUUUUCCCAGGGGAUAUGCUGAUAGCUAACACCUAAAACAUAUAGAUGCUGCCUAGAUUAAUCAGUAAUCAGAGAAUGUUUAUUAGUUGCAGCCUAGGUAGACACAAAGUUUCUUGCAUUGGUGGUCCCAAGAACUUUACUCAAAACAAGUGUCUUCCCUUCAAAAUUAUCUCUUUACUAAUCUACCUUUUUUUUUGCAUAUGCUGGUCCAUUUUUUGUUCAUUACCUUCAUAUGGUUUCCAAGGAAGAUAAAUUGAUUACGUACCUUUGUUUUCUGAAUAUUAGUAAUGUAGUUCACGGAUGCGGUGGUGUGGGACAGGGAGUAGAUGAAAGCGUAAUAAGAGGAUCACGGCGCUUGCACACCCAUUGAAUAUUUUCAGAUGGUUCGCGAUCAAAUUCCCUUCCAUAUAGAUCUUGAGUGUAGCAGAAAAUAUGUCAUGGUAGGCCUGCAUGAGGUAAAUCAGAGUGAGCCAAAGGGAAAUGUAUAUGCACUUACCUAUUCCUAUACCACCCACUCUGGAAAUUUAGUGAAAGGAUUCUCCAAAAAGAAUUAGCUACAGAAUUACGCAAUUAGACAUUGAGUAUCCAUGUGUGGGUACAACUGCAAAUAUUUAAUUGGAAGGACCAAAAUGCAGAUGGACUCUUUAAUUCAUUUGAAGAAAUUAGCUCCUCUCACAAUUUAUCAAUAGAAAGGAUUUUUUCUCCCCUUUUGUGGUGUGCUCCGGUUUGAACCAAGAUUGGUUUUUUGGGUACACAGGUCACGAUGCUGCAUCGGCAACAAGAGGUUAGGGAUUCGUUUAUUGCAGCGAGCGUGAGAAGGCCAAGUUCAUCAGCCUUAUAUGGCGCUACCUCUGGUAAUUAUUUGUUAGCCACCGCAUUAUGAGCUCCUAUUUUGGUUAGAAGUUUGAUAAAUCAUGCCCAACUGGGCUAACUAUAAAAAGUUAAAUGUGUGAAAGAGUCACAAUCCAAUUCCUCAUUUUCCUUCACAAUUUUGCUGUUGCUUGUUCUUGUCUAUUGUGUAUGCUUACAUUCUGGUCUCAUGAGAUGUCCACCAGGUAACGGUUAAAAGGAAAAGUGGGUGUUAAUUUGAUUUGUAAAGAAAAGGAAAGGUUGCAAAAGGAAUUGAUCUCAGCUGUAGUGGGCUGCUUAAGAGGUGAGAAGGCCUCUAAAAAAAGAGGAAGAAGUAAUAGUCAGCUUCAGCAGCAAUUCCUCUUCUCACUUCCGCCAGGUUGUUUUACAUAGGGCAGGCUGCGAAAAUGGAUCGAAAGGAGCUCCUUGACAUAGAACUUGUCUAUCGUGCCUAGAAUUAGUGAUAUCUUUAUGUAUGUAACUAAUGCACUAAGCUGUCACCUUCUGAUUCUAUCUGCUAUGCUGUACUGUAUGACGUAUAUUGCUACUGGUGACUUGCUGAUCACCCAUUUGUACAAAAAACGUGUCAGUUCUAUCC